GGCGCGGUGUCUCGAAUGGUUAGAGAGCGGAUUGCAAAUCCGUUUCAUGUCGGUUCGAAUCCGAUCCGCGCCU
rnacentral:tRNA from 1 species